rnacentral:rRNA from 1 species
GCAAGUCGAACGAGAAGCUGGGUGCUUGCACCCGGUGGAAAGUGGCGCACGGGUGAGUAACGCGUAGGCAAUCUGCCCUCAACUGGGGAAUAACCACGGGAAACCGUGGCUAAUACCACAUAACAUCGAGACGUCGCAUGGCGACUCGAUCAAAGCUCAGGCGGUUGAGGAUGAGCCUGCGUUGGAUUAGCUAGUUGGCGGGGUAAUGGCCCAAGGCGACGAUCUAUAGCGGGUCUGAGAGGAUGAUC